GGCGCGGCCCGGCCCGGCUUCAUCCGCCGGAAUCCGCUGCCAUCCGCGGCCGGGGCCGCUCCCACGGACCGGGAAAGGAGCGGGGGCGGCUCGGGGCGAGAUCCUUCUGCUCCAUUGGGCCCCGCCACCGCCGCGCUGAGAUUCCUGCUCUGACGAUCCGGAGGGACGUAAGAAAUCCCCAGGAAUGAGGAGGUGAAAAUCUGGUAGAUCACCCAUUUUCAGGAAAAAUGGAUGGCAGCCUCCCGGAAAAGCUUGCCGUGCUGCUCACUUGCGCGCUGGAUACCGACGUAGGGGUCCCCUCUCCGACAAUCCUCACCUUGGCUUGUUCUUCCCAGAGCUUCGAGUUAUACCGGGGUUUAACUGGGGAUACUGGGAUGAUAACGAUAACCGGCGUUUUAAUAAAUAACUGAUUUCUU